GACGAACGCUGGCGGCGUGCCUAAUACAUGCAAGUCGAGCGCAGGAAACUGACGGAACUCUUCGGAGGGAAGGCAGUGGAAUGAGCGGCGGACGGGUGAGUAACACGUAAGGAACCUGCCUCAAGGAUUGGGAUAACUCCGAGAAAUCGGAGCUAAUACCGGAUAGUUCAACGGACCGCAUGGUCCGCUGAUGAAAGGCGCUCCGGCGUCACCUUGAGAUGGCCUUGCGGUGCAUUAGCUAGUUGGUGGGGUAACGGCCCACCAAGGCGACGAUGCAUAGCCGACCUGAGAGGGUGAUCGGCCACACUGGGACUGAGACACGGCCCAGACUCCUACGGGAGGCAGCGGUGGGGAAUAUUGCGCAAUGGGCGAAAGCCUGACGCAGCAACGCCGCGUGAGUGAUGAAGGCCUUCGGGUCGUAAAGCUCUGUCGGGAGGAACGAAUGCUCCCGAGGUUAACAGCCUCGGGAGGUGACGGUACCUUCAAAGGAAGCACCGGCUAACUCUGUGCCAGCCGCCGCUGUAACAC
rnacentral:rRNA from 1 species